rnacentral:rRNA from 1 species
AUGGUUGUCGAACGAGCGCAUUAAGUUGGGAUUGAUUGGUGCUUGCAUCAUGAUUUACAUUUGAGUGAGUGGCGAACUGGUGAGUAACACGUGGGAAACCUGCCCAGAAGCGGGGGAUAACACCUGGAAACAGAUGCUAAUACCGCAUAACAACUUGGACCGCAUGGUCCGAGCUUGAAAGAUGGCUUCGGCUAUCACUUUUGGAUGGUCCCGCGGCGUAUUAGCUAGAUGGUGGGGUAACGGCUCACCAUGGCAAUGAUACGUAGCCGACCUGAGAGGGUAAUCGGCCACAUUGGGACUGAGACACGGCCCAAACUCCUACGGGAGGCAGCAGUAGGGAAUCUUCCACAAUGGACGAAAGUCUGAUGGAGCAACGCCGCGUGAGUGAAGAAGGGUUUCGGCUCGUAAAACUCUGUUGUUAAAGAAGAACAUAUCUGAGAGUAACUGUUCAGGUAUUGUCGGUAUUUAACCAGAAAGCCACGGCUAACUAGGUGCCAGCAGCCGCGGUAAUUCGUAGGUGGCAAGCGUUGUCCGGCUUUAUUGGGCGUAAAGCGAGCGCAGGCGGUUUUUUAAGUCUGAUGUGAAAGCCUUCGGCUCAACCGAAGAAGUGCAUCGGAAACUGGGAAACUUGAGUGCAGAAGAGGACAGUGGAACUCCAUGUGUAGCGGUGAAAUGCGUAGAUAUAUGGAAGAACACCAGUGGCGAAGGCGGCUGUCUGGUCUGUAACUGACGCUGAGGCUCGAAAGUAUGGGUAGCAAACAGGAUUAGAUACCCUGGUAGUCCAUACCGUAAACGAUGAAUGCUAAGUGUUGGAGGGUUUCCGCCCUUCAGUGCUGCAGCUAACGCAUUAAGCAUUCCGCCUGGGGAGUACGGCCGCAAGGCUGAAACUCAAAGGAAUUGACGGGGGCCCGCACAAGCGGUGGAGCAUGUGGUUUAAUUCGAAGCUACGCGAAGAACCUUACCAGGUCUUGACAUACUAUGCAAAUCUAAGAGAUUAGACGUUCCCUUCGGGGACAUGGAUACAGGUGGUGCAUGGUUGUCGUCAGCUCGUGUCGUGAGAUGUUGGGUUAAGUCCCGCAACGAGCGCAACCCUUAUUAUCAGUUGCCAGCAUUAAGUUGGGCACUCUGGUGAGACUGCCGGUGACAAACCGGAGGAAGGUGGGGAUGACGUCAAAUCAUCAUGCCCCUUAUGACCUGGGCUACACACGUGCUACAAUGGAUGGUACAACGAGUUGCGAACUCGCGAGAGUAAGCUAAUCUCUUAAAGCCAUUCUCAGUUCGGAUUGUAGGCUGCAACUCGCCUACAUGAAGUCGGAAUCGCUAGUAAUCGCGGAUCAGCAUGCCGCGGUGAAUACGUUCCCGGGCCUUGUACACACCGCCCGUCACACCAUGAGAGUUUGUAACACCCAAAGUCGUUGUCCGGAGGUAUUGACGCCUGCCCAGA